ACCCUGCAGCUUGUCCUGGCAUUCCCUCUAGAAUAUAAUGUUCCUUCUGACAAGCUUGUUUUAAAAACCUUUUCCAGAUUUUGUAUGGUUUGGGUUUUUUGAGCUUCCAGUUAACAGUAAGAUGAGAAAAUUCAAAGGUGGAACCAUCAGGAAAUUUGACCUGAAUUCAGGAAUAGCUUCUGGACAAGAGAAAAUGCAUUUCUUGGUGCCUCUUGUGCUGCAUGAGGAGGCAGACUGCAAGGAGACACUUUCUAACUGAGUCCCAGCCACAGACUUUGGACUUCCCAAUCUUAUCAAGAUGUUCAGGACAAGAGAGCAUCUCUAAAAACCUGUAAACAGAUCUCAGAACAAAAUGACUUAGAAAUUGAAUCUGAUGGCUGUAAUGAAAGAGCCAUGUUACCAAGGAAUGACAAACAGGAAUUUUGGACAGAUUUACACUGCUGGAGGAACUGAGAAGGAGAAAUUGUCCUGUGAGUCGCUUGGUCUGAACUACAAUACUUGGCAAAAGGCUGAGAAGCAGCAUUUGAGGGAGGAAGGAAACAGUGAAGAUGAUCUGAGAGGGGGACAGAGAUGGUGAUUUGACAAUUUCUGGAAGAGACAGAGCAGAUAUAUUGCUGAUGUGCUUGGAAAUUCCACGGGGCUUCUGGGAAUGCUGAAACCGCCAGAUGAGGAAUUCAUGGAGGGUUACCCACUACAAGGAUUUCUGAGGUGCCCUUGCAGCCACACCAACCAUGUAUUCUGACCUCUGACAAACAAGCAAAUGGAACUGCACAGCCAGGUUAAUGCCACCUUUGAGCCUCUACAAACCAG